CCCCUCUCAGCGUUGCACCUGGAGAGUUUCCAGUACUCUCCCAGUUUCAACCACAGGAGGGAGAGUCAAGCAGAGGCCUAUCCAUUCCAUUGCUAACUUGGUUGGUGGCUAGCAAGAGGAAGGCAACCUGCUACAAGU